rfam:Chelonia mydas contig103507, whole genome shotgun sequence.
AGGCUGGCUCUAACGCAGCAGUUACUUCCAGUCUUCAGUUUAUUGAAAACCCAGCCCCUCCGGGGUUUCGAAACCCGUGGGCACUUCCCGGUCUUUUU